UCCGUAGGCGGUGCGGCAAGUCGGAAGUGAAAUCUCAGGGCUUAACCCUGAGGCUGCUUCCGAAACUGCCGUGCUCGAGUGCGAGAGAGGCGAGUGGAAUUGCAGGUGUAGCGGUGAAAUGCGUAGAUAUCUGCAGGAACAUCCGAGGCGAAAGCGGCUCGCUGGAUCGCAACUGACGCUGAGGGACGAAAGCUAGGGGAGCAAACAGGAUUAGAUACCCUGGUAGUCCUAGCCCUAAACGAUCAGGACUGGGCGUGGGCCUCGUACGGGGCUCGUGCCGCAGCUAACGCGUUAAGUCCUGCGCCUGGGGAGUACGAUCGCAAGGCUGAA
rnacentral:rRNA from 1 species